UGGGGAAUAUUGGACAAUGGGGGCAACCCUGAUCCAGCGAUGCCGCGUGUGUGAAGAAGGCCUGCGGGUUGUAAAGCACUUUAAUUGGGGAGGAGAGUAGGUGUAUGAAUAAUGCACUUAUGAGACGUUACCCAAAGAAUAAGCACCGGCAAACUCUGUGCCAGCAGCCGCGGUAAUACAGAGGGUGCAAGCGUUAAUCGGAGUUACUGGGCGUAAAGGGCACGUAGGCGGUCAAAUAAGUCAGUUGUGAAAUCCCUGGGCUUAACCUGGGAACUGCAAUUGAGACUGUGUGACUAGAGUCGAAGAGAGGGAAGCGGAAUUUCCGGUGUAGCGGUGAAAUGCGUAGAUAUAGGAAGGAACACCAGUGGCGAAGGCGACCACCUGGACUGAUACUGACACUGAGGUGCGAAAGCGUGGGGAGCAAACAGGAUUAGAUACCCUCGUAGUCCCUGAGCGGGCUGGCAAGGCGCAU
rnacentral:rRNA from 1 species